UGUAACGGCGCAAGGCUUGACCGAGGGGACUAUAACAUGUAUAGGCGAAAAGCGGGGUCUCGGUUGUAACGCGCUUAGGAAGUCCCCUCGAGG
rfam:Rous sarcoma virus type C transformation-defective deletion mutant